rnacentral:lncRNA from 1 species
GUUGAUAUUCAAUUAAAUCGGGGUUUUCCGAAGAGAAAACGCGUGAUUUUCGCUUAAAUGGGGGAUUUCCAAAGAGAAAACGCGUGAUAUUUGCUUAAAUGUGGGAUUCUCGGAGAUAAAGAGCGUGAUAUCCGAUUAAAAGGGGGAUUUCCGAAGAGAAAACUCGUGAUUUUUGCUUAAAUGGGAGAUUUCCGAAGAUAAUGGGGGAUUUCAGAUGAGAAAACGCGUGAUAUUUGCUUAAAUGUUGGAUUCUCGAAGAGAAAACGUGUGAUUUUCGCUUAAAUGGGGGAUUUCCGAAGAGAAAACGCGUGAUUUUCAAGUUAAAUGGGUGAUUUCCGAAGAGAAAACGCGUGAUUUUCAAGUUAAAUGGGGGAUUUCUGAAGAGAAAACGCGUGAUUUUCACUUAAAUGGGGUAUUUGAGAAGAGAAAAUUCGUGAUCUUCACUUAAAUGGGGGAUUCUCAAAGAGAAAACGCUUGAUUUUCACUUAAAUUGACGAUUCUCAAAGAGAAAACGCGAGAUUUUCACUUAAAUGGGGGUUUUGCGAAGGGAAAAUGUGUGAUUUCUGGUUAAAUGUGGGAUUUCGGAAGAGAAAACUCGUGGUUUUUUGGGUUAAUUGGGGGAUUUGCGAAGAGAAAAUGCGUGAUUUUCGCUUAAAUGUGGGAUUUGAGAAAACACAUGAUUUUCGGUUAAAUGUUGGAUUCUCGAAGAGAAAACGCGUGAUUUUCGCUUAAAUGGGGGAUUUCCGAAGAGAAAACG